GACGUAGGGCGCGAGCGUUGUCCGGAUUUAUUGGGCGUAAAGAGCGUGUAGGCGGUUCGGUAAGUCUGUCGUGAAAUCCUGAGGCUCAACCUCGGGCGUGCGAUGGAUACUGCCGGGCUAGAGGAUGGUAGAGGCGAGUGGAAUUCCCGGUGUAGCGGUGAAAUGCGCAGAUAUCGGGAGGAACACCAGUAGCGAAGGCGGCCCCCUGGGCCGCGCCUGACGCUGAGACGCGAAAGCGCGGGGAGCGAACGGG
rnacentral:rRNA from 1 species